rnacentral:rRNA from 1 species
GACGAACGCUGGCGACGUGCUUAGCACAUGCAAGUCGAACGGAAAGGCCCUGCUUUUGUGGGGUGCUCGAGUGGCGAACGGGUGAGUAACACGUGAGUAACCUGCCCUUGACUUUGGGAUAACUUCAGGAAACUGGGGCUAAUACCGGAUAGGAGCUCCUGCUGCAUGGUGGGGGUUGGAAAGUUUCGGCGGUUGGGGAUGGACUCGCGGCUUAUCAGCUUGUUGGUGGGGUAGUGGCUUACCAAGGCUUUGACGGGUAGCCGGCCUGAGAGGGUGACCGGCCACAUUGGGACUGAGAUACGGCCCAGACUCCUACGGGAGGCAGCAGUGGGGAAUAUUGCACAAUGGGCGGAAGCCUGAUGCAGCAACGCCGCGUGCGGGAUGACGGCCUUCGGGUUGUAAACCGCUUUCGCCUGUGACGAAGCGUGAGUGACGGUAAUGGGUAAAGAAGCACCGGCUAACUACGUG